rnacentral:rRNA from 1 species
GAUGAACGCUGGCGGCGUGCCUAAUACAUGCAAGUCGAGCGAAUGGAUUAAGAGCUUGCUCUUAUGAAGUUAGCGGCGGACGGGUGAGUAACACGUGGGUAACCUGCCCAUAAGACUGGGAUAACUCCGGGAAACCGGGGCUAAUACCGGAUAACAUUUUGAACCGCAUGGUUCGAAAUUGAAAGGCGGCUUCGGCUGUCACUUAUGGAUGGACCCGCGUCGCAUUAGCUAGUUGGUGAGGUAACGGCUCACCAAGGCAACGAUGCGUAGCCGACCUGAGCGGGUGAUCGGCCACGCUGGGACUGCGACACGGCCCAGACUCCUACGGGAGGCAGCAGUAGGGAAUCUUCCGAAAUGGACGAAAGUCUGACGGAGCAACGCCGCGUGAGUGAUGAAGGCUUUCGGGUCGUAAAACUCUGUUGUUAGGGAAGAACAAGUGCUAGUUGAAUAAGCUGGCACCUUGACGGUACCUAACCAGAAAGCCACGGCUAACUACGUGCCAGCCGCCGCCGUAA